UGGGGAAUAUUGCACAAUGGGGGAAACCCUGAUGCAGCGACGCCGCGUGAGCGAAGAAGGUUUUCGAAUCGUAAAGCUCUGUCCUAUGAGAAGAUAAUGACGGUAUCAUAGGAGGAAGCCCCGGCUAAAUACGUGCCAGCAGCCGCGGUAAUACGUAUGGGGCGAGCGUUGUCCGGAAUUAUUGGGCGUAAAGGGUACGUAGGCGGCCUUUUAAGUCAGGUGUGAAAGCGUGAGGCUUAACCUCAUUAAGCACUUGAAACUGGAAGGCUUGAGUGAAGGAGAGGAAAGUGGAAUUCCUAGUGUAGCGGUGAAAUGCGUAGAUAUUAGGAGGAAUACCGGUGGCGAAGGCGACUUUCUGGACUUUUACUGACGCUCAGGUACGAAAGCGUGGGGAGCAAACAGGAUUAGAUACCCUGGUAGUCCACGCCGUAACGAUGAAUGCUAGGUGUUGGGAGUCAAAUCUCGGUGCCGAAGUUAACACAUUAAGCAUUCCGCCUGGGGAGUACGGUGGCAACACUG
rnacentral:rRNA from 1 species